rnacentral:misc_RNA from 1 species
GAUGAAGAACGUAGCGAAAUGCGAUAAGUAAUGUGAAUUGCAGAAUUCCGUGAAUCAUCGAAUCUUUGAACGCACAUUGCGCCCCCUGGUAUUCCGGGGGGCAUGCCUGUCCGAGCGUCAUUGCAACCCUCAAGCGCGGCUUGUGUGUUGGGCUUCGUCCCCCCGUGGACGUGCCCGAAAGGCAGUGGCGGCGUCCCGAAUGGUGCCCGAGCGUAUGGGAACUCUCUUCCGCUCGAACCGGCCCAUUCGGGGCUGGUCGAACCCCAAUUUUUUUUUACCGGUUGACCUCGGAUCAGGUAGGGAUACCCGCUGAACUUAAGCAUAUCAAUAAGCGGAGGA